rnacentral:rRNA from 1 species
AACGAACGCUGGCGGCGUGCUUAACACAUGCAAGUCGAACGCGAAAGGGACUUCGGUCCUGAGUAAAGUGGCGCACGGGUGAGUAACGCGUAGAUAACCUGUCUUCAUGUCUGGAAUAAUACGCCGAAAGGGGUACUAAUACCGGAUAUUCUUUGCUUUUCAUAAGUUAUGCAAGCAAAGGUGGCCUCUGCAUAUGCUACUGCAUGAAGAGGGGUCUGCGUACCAUUAGCUAGUAGGUGGGGUAAUGGCCUACCUAGGCGACGAUGGUUAGCGGGUCUGAGAGGAUGAUCCGCCACACUGGCACUGGAACACGGGCCAGACUCCUACGGGAGGCAGCAGUGAGGAAUAUUGCGCAAUGGGGGAAACCCUGACGCAGCGACGCCGCGUGAGUGAGGAAAGGCCUUCGGGUCGUAAAGCUCUGUCAAGAGGAAAGAAGUGUACAAUGGCUAAUACCUGUUGUAUUUGACGGUACCUCUAAAGGAAGCACCGGCUAACUCCGUGCCAGCAGCAGC